UACGAAGGGGGCUAGCGUUGCUCGGAAUCACUGGGCGUAAAGGGUGCGUAGGCGGGUUUUUAAGUCAGGGGUGAAAUCCUGGAGCUCAACUCCAGAACUGCCUUUGAUACUGGGGAUCUCGAGUCCGGAAGAGGUGAGUGGAACUGCGAGUGUAGAGGUGAAAUUCGUAGAUAUUCGCAAGAACACCAGUGGCGAAGGCGGCUCACUGGUCCGGUACUGACGCUGAGGUGCGAAAGCGUGGGGAGCAAACAGG
rnacentral:rRNA from 1 species